rnacentral:rRNA from 1 species
UGGGGAAUAUUGGACAAUGGGCGCAAGCCUGAUCCAGCAAUGCCGCGUGUGUGAAGAAGGCCUGCGGGUUGUAAAGCACUUUCAGUGGGGAAGAAAAGCCUGGGGCUAAUAUCUCCGGGUCUUGACGUUACCCACAGAAGAAGCACCGGCUAACUCCGUGCCAGCAGCCGCGGUAAUACGGAGGGUGCGAGCGUUAAUCGGAAUUACUGGGCGUAAAGCGCGCGUAGGCGGCAGCGUCAGUCGGAUGUGAAAGCCCCGGGCUUAACCUGGGAAUUGCAUUCGAUACUGCGUCGCUAGAGUAUGGGAGAGGGAAGUGGAAUUUCCGGUGUAGCGGUGAAAUGCGUAGAUAUCGGAAGGAACACCAGUGGCGAAGGCGACUUCCUGGCCCAAUACUGACGCUGAGGUGCGAAAGCGUGGGGAGCAAACAGGAUUAGAUACCCCCGUAGUCC